GACGAACGCUGGCGGCGUGCUUAACACAUGCAAGUCGAACGGAAAGGCCCUGCUUUUGCGGGGUGCUCGAGUGGCGAACGGGUGAGUAUCACGCGAGUAUCCUGCCCUUGACUUUGGGAUAACUUCAGGAAACUGGGGCUAAUAUCGGAUAGGAGCUCCUGCUGCAUGGUGGGGGUUGGAAAGUUUCGGCGGUUGGGGCUGGACUCGCGGCUUAUCAGCUUGUUGGUGGGGUAGUGGCUUACCAAGGCUUUGACGGGUAGCCGGCCUGAGAGGGUUACCGGCCACAUUGGGACUGAGAGACGGCCCAGACUCCUACGGGAGGCAGCAGUGGGGAAUAUUGCACAAUGGGCGGAAGCCUGAUGCAGCAACGCCGCGUGCGGGAUGACGGCCUUCGGGUUGUAAACCGCUUUCGCCUGUGACGAAGCGUGAGUGACGGUAAUGGGUAAAGAAGCACCGGCUAACUACGUG
rnacentral:rRNA from 1 species